rnacentral:tRNA from 1 species
CGAUUCCUCUGUAGUUCAGUCGGUAGAACGGCGGACUGUUAAUCCGUAUGUCACUGGUUCGAGUCCAGUCAGAUUGA